GACGAACGCUGGCGGCGUGCUUAACACAUGCAAGUCGAACGGUGAAAGCGGAGCUUGCUCCGGUGGAUUAGUGGCGAACGGGUGAGUAACACGUGAGUAACCUGCCCUUGACUCUGGGAUAACUGCGGGAAACUGUAGCUAAUACCGGAUACGACCCUCGGCGGCAUCGCCAGGGGGUGGAAAGAAUUUCGGUCAAGGAUGGACUCGCGGCCUAUCAGCUAGCUGGUGAGGUAACGGCUCACCAAGGCGACGACGGGUAGCCGGCCUAAGAGGGUGACCGGCCACACUGGGACUGAGACACGGCCCAGACUCCUACGGGAGGCAGCAGUGGGGAAUAUUGCACAAUGGGCGCAAGCCUGAUGCAGCAACGCCGCGUGAGGGAUGACGGCCUUCGGGUUGUAAACCUCUUUUAGUAGGGAAGAAGCGAAAGUGACGGUACCUGCAGAAAAAGCACCGGCUAACUACGUGCCAGCCGCCGCCGUAA
rnacentral:rRNA from 1 species